rnacentral:lncRNA from 1 species
UGGUGCACACCAUAAUUCCAGCACUCGGGAGGCUGAAGCAGGAGGAUCUUUGCCAGUUCAAGACCAGCCUGGGCUACAAGUGAGCUCAAGGCCAGCCUGAACUGCAUAGUGAGACCCUAUAUCAAGAAGACAAAAAAAGAAAAUAAAAAAGGGAUGAAAUGUACUAGUAAAGUCAACCUGCCUAAACAGAAGCAGAGGAGGGGCUUCUCCCAACAGAGCAGAUAGAGUACCUUCUGCUGUGGGUGGAGAACAGCAAUGGCAAGGCAGAGAUGUCUGUGACCUAGAGCCGGGGCUGGACCUUCAGCAGCGUUCAUGGCAGGCAACAAGAUGCCAGAGGGGCCCAGCUGAAAGGCGCAUCCAAGUAAGAGCGCUCGGCACCUCCCACCCCCGCUUCUCAGGUCAGGAGAUUGAGGGGGCCGGCAAAAGGUGGAACUCAGGUUUCUGGAGCUCUGGGAUGGAUAUAGAAGCAGCAGAGAAUUCUAGAACUUAAGAGGCCACCCAUGCCAAGAUAGGACAUUUCCAUGGCAACCACUGUGGUCCAAGGACAAAGAGAUUUAGUAGUGGGCCAAACUUCAGGAGCACAGCACAACUGUGGAGGAGGGUGGGAGUCCCCAGGAGGACUGUGCUGCAGGUUUGGGUCACUUGGUGACAGCUUAGGUAGAAAGAAAGCUGACCUCUAGACAGCUACACAUGCAUACCUGAGCCUGUGGCCUAUGUAAGGCAGCAAAAGACUCUGCAAUUAGACUUCUCAGGACUUCCACUCACCAGCUGAGGAACGGGAGCCAGGCUCGCCCCGCUAUCCUGCCUCGGGAGAGACCCAGCCUCAACCCCACCACACUGCCCCUCUCCGCCGUCCUCCGGGCCGCAGCAGGCGCGCGCACGAGAGCCGCAGGUCAGGCCAGGCUGCUGCGCACCAGGACCGCCCGCACCCCGGAACUCACUCGGGCGGCCGCAGGGGUCCAGUCUUCGGGAGCCACCUUUCCUCUUACCGCCCAAGCGGGGCGCCCGGACCCUGCCCCGACCCCCGGGCCUCUCACCUGGGGUCACCACGCCUCUGGGCCUGGGGUGACCUCGGUCUCACCUGCUGCAGACCGAGAGCUGCCCUACUCCGGAGGCCCCGUAAAUCCUCAGCAGCCCUUCCUUCUGUAUUCACUAGGGAUUUUUGAGGACCUGAGAGCGAAACCCAUCCAAAACGGGCCUGCGCAGUCCGAGUGAUCCAUAACCCCGCACGCGCGUGAUGCUGGGAGCCUUUCCUCCGGUCUCUGGACUCUGGCCUCACUGAGUCUCUGCUGCCUCCCAUCUCCGUCCUUUCUCCCUCUGGUCGGUCUCCCUCCCGUGUGCUGGAGUUAAGUCUCAAACAGCCCUUUUCCAGCAGGGGCCUGGUGGUGUAGGCCUGUAAUCCCAGCACUCUGGGAGGCUGAGGCAGGGAGAUAGCAAAUUCUGACCGAGUCUGGACAAAUUAGCCGUUUAGUGAGAGCUUGUCUCAAAAUAAAAUAUAAAAAAGAGCUGGGAAUGUGAUUCAGAGCGAAGGCCCUGGGUUCAAUCUCCAGUACCGAAGCGUGUGUCUGGGGGGUGGGGGUAGGCCCCUUCCCUUGGCCGGGAGAGCUGCGCUCCAGCCCCAGAGUUUCCGUACUGGAGUUCGCCUUCUCCCUGACUGGCGCUGGAAGAAAAGCGCUCUUUGAUCAGUCGGAGUUCUGAUUGGCCCGGCGACAGAUAAGGGGUGGAGCAAACGGACUGACAGGCGAGUCAGAGGGCUGCGGACCCAGGGGAAGAGGUUCGCCGCAGCCCGCGAAGCUCCGCAAACGAACGUUCUGAGUCCUUUAACUCCUAACAGCUUACCUCUCCCUGAGUCUCCCCUGCCAACGGCGGGUCCUCCUCGACUUAGCAUCCCCCACCCCAGCUGUGCACAUUCAAGGGGUUUGCAGCUCCCCAGCUCGGGUCACUCCUCCAUGUGAAGCAGUGUAGCUUCACCUCCCUGCUGUGCCCGGGCAGGUCACCUUCCACAGAAACCCGAGCGAGACCGUCUCCCUAGGAGAAGACACUGACCUUGAGUCCUCUGAUCCCUACCCAGGCCAGCGCCAGGAUGGCCGGGAUUUGCACCCAAAGCCGCUGGUGUGGGGACAGCAGGGCUGGCCACGGCUGCUCCUGGUCCUAGUCGUUCCUAGAGAAUUCAGAGCAGCACCCUGGACUCCGCCAGCCCGCACUGGGGCUCCUCCUGCCUCCCCCACGGUGAUGGCCGAACAUGGCCUUGCCAGGGCAGGAGGAGGAGAAGGAUCACCCCUCCUUUCUUCCCACCCUGGUUUGAGGCCCACUGGCCAGAAGGAACAGAGGUAAAGUUAGGGUCCAUAGCAGAGGGCGAAGGACACCUGAGAAUUCCCAGUGUCGGUUUCUCUCACACAAGGCUCCCAGGGCAUAUGGUUAGCUGACCUGGGGAAAAUCCAUCGGGAAUAAAAUUGUGACUGUCCCAGACACUCUGGAG